rnacentral:lncRNA from 1 species
CACAUGUGUGUUGGGGCAUGUGGCGCAGGCGCUAUUAGCCUACCUGGUGUUUGAAGGACAAAACUUAACUUAAUCGUAGUUUUGAUAAUUAAUUGUGCAGUAUAUUUACUAGUACGUGAUUUCUUCUCUGAGCAGCAUGUUGAUACAGUCGGCAAGAAUGUUAAGAAGCAGUGGUGUUCAGCUUCAGGAUGAGUAGUAAAAUUAAGAGAGUGGAUAGCAACAUAAGAAUACAGUGUGCUGGCUCUUUUUUGACUCAUUUGCAUAAUUCACUAGACAAUGGCCUCAUCACAAUGAUGUAAUGAUAAUGAAUAUUCAUAGUCAGGAAACUGCAGAAAUGAAACCACAGCAAAAGCAACUUCUUGAUAGGAUAUAUAUCUUCAGCAUGUAUAUCCAGGUAGCGCCUGGAUUACAAUGCAGUGAGUCUUGCAUGUGUAGCAUCCUACUGGCUGACUGUCCACAUUUGGACUCAUUUGCAUAAUUUGCUGGACCAUGGCUGCAUCACAAUGAUGUAUAAUAAUUAAUAUUUAUUGUCAGACACUUACAACUACGAAAGUCAGGAAACUGCUGAAAUGACACAGCAAAAGCAACUUCUUGAUAGCACAUUUCAACGGGAUUGAAGGUAGCACAUGGGUUUCACCAGAGCAAAUUUCGCAUGUGUAACAUCCUAGCGCUUGGAUAGGCGGACUGUCCAGAUGUGGACCAACAUUUUGAAACUCUUUGCUAGUUGACUCAUUUGCAUAAUUCACUGGACCAUGGCCUCAUCAGAAUGAUGUAAUGAUAAUGAAUAUUCAUAGUCAGGAAACUGCAGAAAUGACACCACAGCAAAAGCAACUUCUUGAUAGGAUAUAUCUUCAGCAUGUAUAUCUAGGUAGCACCUGGAUUACAAUUCAGUGAGUCUUGCAUGUGUAGCAUCCUACUGGCUGACUGUCCAGAUUUGGACUCAUUUGCAUAAUUUGCUGGACCAUGGCUGCAUCACAAUGAUGUAUAAUGAUAAUUAAUAUUUAUUGUCAGACACUUAAAACUACAGAAGUCAGGAAACUGCUGAAAUGACACCACAGCAAAAGCAACUUCUAAUAACAUAUAUCUUCAGCGGCAGCAAAUUUCGCAUGUGUAACAUCCUAGCGCUUGGAUAGGCUGACUGUCCAGAUGUGGACCAACAUUUUAAAAUAGAAAUUCCGAAGAAACUUGGACAUUAAUUGUUCCUUCUUUAACUGCAACGAGUCAACCUGCCCUGCUAGCCAGUAUUACUUCCUCUACUGAAUGGUGAGUGUGAUGGCAAAAGUUUGUGAAUGUUUAAUAUUAUGAAUUUCAUGUCCAUUGUAAAUUGCAUGUCCAUUGCAAAUUGCUUUGUGGGAUAAAUAUGUACCCAAGAAAGUUUGUUUUACAUAUGAGUUUAAUAGUCUAUAAUACUGUAGUAAUAAUAGUAAUUGUUUUCCCCUGUAAGCAUAGCAAUUAUUUUGGUUGUCAUUAUUACAGUACAACUUUAUUUCCCUAUUUCAUAAUUAAAUUUUAAUAAAUAACUUUAAAAUUAAUAAAUUUUUGUUUAUGACAUACAAUUUAACUAUAAUAAUAACAAUAUA